CUCCAGCUCCAAUAGCGUAUAUUAAAGUUGUUGCGGUUAAAAAGCUCGUAGUUGAAUCUGUGUCCCGCACUGUCGGUUCACCGCCCGCGGUGUCAACUGGCAUGUUUGCGGGACGUCCUGCCGGUGGACGCGUCGUCGCGUCCGUGUAUUCAUCGUCUAGUACGGUGUUACACGUGGCGUGCGCCGUCCUAAUUGCGAACCUGUCACGGUGCUCUUAAUUGAGUGUCGAGGCGGGCCGGCACGUUUACUUUGAACAAAUUAGAGUGCUCAAAGCAGGCUAAAAUUUUGCUUGAAUACUGUGUGCAUGGAAUAAUAGAACAGGACCUCGGUUCUAUUUUGUUGGUUUUCGGAACUUCGAGGUAAUGAUUAAUAGGGACAGAUGG
rnacentral:rRNA from 1 species